GCCCGCGUGGCGCAAUCGGCUAGCGCGUCAGACUUUUAAUCUGAAUGUUGCGAGUUCGAGUCUCGCCGUGGGCG